GGAAAUGCCAAAGAGAGAGGUAUGAGAACCCUCGCCGGGUUCGGCAAAUUUACAGGAUUGUAAAUUUGAACGUCGCUUUAGCGACGGCCCGCAAGGGCGAAGGGCAGGAUGCCUGGAGUAAUCCCUCUCUCUCCGCCA
rnacentral:sRNA from 1 species